UUUGAUCCUGGCUCAGAUUGAACGCUGGCGGCAUGCCUUACACAUGCAAGUCGAACGGUAACGCGGGGCAACCUGGCGACGAGUGGCGAACGGGUGAGUAAUGCAUCGGAACGUGCCCAGUAGUGGGGGAUAGCCCGGCGAAAGCCGGAUUAAUACCGCAUACGACCUACGGGUGAAAGCGGGGGACUCGCAAGAGCCUCGCGCUAUUGGAGCGGCCGAUGUCAGAUUAGGUAGUUGGUGGGGUAAAAGCCUACCAAGCCGACGAUCUGUAGCUGGUCUGAGAGGACGACCAGCCACACUGGGACUGAGACACGGCCCAGACUCCUACGGGAGGCAGCAGUGGGGAAUUUUGGACAAUGGGCGCAAGCCUGAUCCAGCCAUGCCGCGUGCGGGAAGAAGGCCU
rnacentral:rRNA from 1 species